AAAACUAUAGUCUGUGUAAAGAGGUAUAUUCUGAUCUGAUCAACUGCAAGAUGAAGGUUGUAUCUCUUAUCUUCUCCAUCCUACUUCUCAUCAACUUAACCCAGUCCUUCUUCUCCUUCGAGCAGUGCCUUACCAGAGGAGCAGCAUGUUCACUGCCUACUGCCACUACAAGGUUCAGUGGACAGUGUUGUCAGAAUUUGAAUUUAGCGUGCAUUGAAACUAAUCCACGUAAUGGAAAUUCCCGACCCAGAAGAAUCUCUUAUACUCAAUGGCUCAAUAGACGCAGAACUUGCCAGUAGCUUGAAGCUUCUUUAAAGAAGAAAAGGUUUUGAUGAUGGACUUUAUUCAAGACUUGGAAUAAUUUUUAACAAAAAUAAAUACUUUCAUGUCA